UAUUGGACCAAAAGAAUUCUAAUUCCAAUUCCACAACUAAACCCUGCGAAACGGGUCUACACGCGGAUCUUGUGGGUAAAAAAUUAAAAUCGGGUCAACUAGGUAAGCAGCUUCAGCCUCUGCUUCACUGACUCUUCUUCUUCCUCCUUCGGAUUCCUCAAAACCCAUUUCCCUUUUCCCCACUCCAACCCAUCGAUGGAUUUCCAACGGCUUUUUCAAAAUUGUCACCUGCGCUGCUCCGAAGCAUGGCAUUCACUCCACUGAAGCAAUUGAAACUACUAUCGGGUAUCAAGUUGCUAUCUUUAUCUUUUGCCUUUCUAGAAAAUCCAGAUUGCUUUUUAGUGCACCUUGGACGAGUUUAUUGCGGUUUCAUUUUUUGUUCUCUCGGUUGCUGUUUUUUUUUUUUUAUUUGUUUUGCCAUUUGUAGUGAUUUUUUAUUGUUUGAGGUUUUUGAUGGAUGGCGUUAGGUGGGUUUUGUUUCUGGUUAAAGUGGAGGGAUAUUUGGGCGGUUGGUUGUUGAAUGUACUGAGUGAAGCUGCUGAUCGGUUGCAUCGUGGAUACUUUACUGAAUGUUUUGAAAUUUCAUCCUUUGAUCUGUGAUAGGGACUGUGAUCACAAAGCAACCUAGGCUGGCUUAUGGUUUGGAUUUCCGUUCAUGCCAUUUGUAGUGAAGCACCUUUCUUGCCUUUAUUUCUGUGUUAUCCACAAUAAUCUGCACUGUCGCUCUAGUAUGUUUUUCACUGCAUUCCACAUCUUCCACCAUUGGUACUCUUGGUGAUAGUGUACUUAUGUCCAGAGUACCCCAUUGAUCAGAGAGCACUCUGCAGAAAUCAUCUAAUUCCUGCAUCUUCGGACAGCUAUUGCUGCUAGAGAAAAAGGGAUUGACAAAAGGGGCUCUACUGAAGAAUUUUGGAUAUUGACAUGGAUAAAGAAGGAGGCGAGCAAAAAGCAAAAAAGAGAAAAGUGGUAGUUGCAAAUUAUAUGGUAACAAUAGCUACAUUAGUAGUUUGGUGGCAUGAGAAACAUAUAGUAAAGGAGCCUUACUUGGACUUUAAAGUAGCACGUGAAAUAUAUCUAAGGCGUCUUUACUAUGGAAACAAUAGAGUUUGUGUAGAGCAACUUAGACUCAAUAAACAUUGUUUUACUGUUUUAUGUACAAAUUUAAAAGAGCAUUGUGGGUUGACGGAUACUAGAAAUAUUACUGUUGAAGAGGCAGUUGCAAUGUUUCUCUA